ACUGCUCAGUAACACGUGGACAACCUGCCCUUAGGUUGGGUAUAAACCCGGGAAACUGGGUAUAAUACCCGAUAGGUCUCGAUUGCUGGAAUGCAUCGAGAUUUAAAGCUCCGGCGCCUAAGGAUGGGUCUGCGGCCUAUCAGGUAGUAGUGGGUGUAGCGUACCUACUAGCCUACGACGGGUACGGGUUGUGAGAGCAAGAGCCCGGAGAUGGAUUCUGAGACACGAAUCCAGGCCCUACGGGGUGCAGCAGGCGCGAAAACUUUACAAUGCUGGCAACAGCGAUAAGGGAACCUCGAGUGCCAGGUUACAAAUCUGGCUGUCGAGAUGCCUAAAAAGCAUUUCAUAGCAAGGGCCGGGCAAGACCGGUGCCAGCCGCCGCGGUAACACCGGCGGCUCGAGUGGUAACCGUUAUUAUUGGGUUUAAAGGGUCUGUAGCCGGCCGGAUAAGUCUCUUGAGAAAUCUGGCAGCUUAACUGUCAGGCUUUCAGGAGAUACUGUCUGGCUCGAGGCCGGGAGAGGUGAGAGGUACUUCAGGGGUAGGGGUGAAAUCUUGUAAUCCUUGAAGGACCACCAGUGGCGAAGGCGUCUCACCAGAACGGACCUGACGGCAAGGGACGAAAGCUAGGGGCACGAACCGGAUUAGAUACCCGGGUAGUCCUAGCCGUAAACGAUACUCGCUAGGUGUCGGCCACGGUGCGACCGUUGUCGGUGCCGUAGGGAAGCCGUGAAGCGAGCCACCUGGGAAGUACGGCCGCAAGGCUGAAACUUAAAGGAAUUGGCGGGGGAGCAC
rnacentral:rRNA from 1 species